rnacentral:ncRNA from 1 species
CAGAGUAGGGCCUGCUUCGUUAAGUGCCUCCGGAACGGGGAGUUGAACGGGGGACGAAGGCGAACGCCGCGGUUGCAGGCCCGCACCCGCUG